rnacentral:rRNA from 1 species
UACGUAGGGCGCAAGCGUUGUCCGGAAUUAUUGGGCGUAAAGAGCUCGUAGGUGGUUUGUCGCGUCUGUCGUGAAAGCCCAUGGCUUAACUGUGGGUCUGCGGUGGAUACGGGCAGGCUGGAGGCAGGUAGGGGAGAACGGAAUUCCCGGUGUAGCGGUGAAAUGCGUAGAUAUACGGGAGGAACACCUGUGGCGAAAGCGGCGCACUGGACCAUAACUGACGCUGAGGCGCGAAAGCUAGGGGAGCAAACAGG